AUGGAAGGCCCAGUUCAGCUUCUCUGCCUGCUAGUAUUCUCGCUUCCAGAUGCCAUGGGAGACAUUGUGAUGACUCAGUCCCCAGCUUCCCUCUCUCUGUCUCCUGGUGAAAGAGCCUCCCUCACCUGCAAGUCCAGUGAGAGUGUUUACAGUGCCUUACACUGGUAUCAGCAGAAACCUGGGCAGGCUCCCAGGCUCCUCAUCUAUGGUGCAUCCAACAGGGUUGAUGGCAUCCCAGAGCGAUUCAGUGGGAGUGGGUCUGGGACAGGCUACACUCUCACUAUCAGCAGCCUGGAAGCUGAAGAUGUUGGAAUUUAUUACUGUCAACAUGGACUUAAAACUCCUCCCACAGUGUUACAUGCUUGA